rnacentral:rRNA from 1 species
UGGGGAAUAUUGCACAAUGGGCGCAAGCCUGAUGCAGCCAUGCCGCGUGUGUGAAGAAGGCCUUCGGGUUGUAAAGCACUUUCAGUCGUGAGGAAGGGUUAGUAGUUAAUACCUGCUAGCUUUGACGUUAGCGACAGAAGAAGCACCGGCUAACUCCGUGCCAGCAGCCGCGGUAAUACGGAGGGUGCGAGCGUUAAUCGGAAUUACUGGGCGUAAAGCGUACGCAGGCGGCUAAGUAAGUCAGAUGUGAAAGCCCCGGGCUCAACCUGGGAACUGCAUUUGAAACUGCUUGGCUAGAGUGCGACAGAGGGUGGUAGAAUUUCAGGUGUAGCGGUGAAAUGCGUAGAGAUCUGAAGGAAUACCAAUGGCGAAGGCAGCCACCUGGGUCGACACUGACGCUCAUGUACGAAAAGCGUGGGUAGCAAAACAGGAUUUAGAUACCCUGGUAGUCCACGCCGUAAACGAUGUCUACUAGCAGUUUGCCUCUUAAGAGGUGUCUUGCGCAGCUAACGCAUUAAGUAGACCGCCUGGGAGUACGGCCGC